rnacentral:rRNA from 1 species
UACGUAGGGACCAAGCGUUGUCCGGAUUCAUUGGGCGUAAAGAGCUCGUAGGCGGUUCGAUAAGUCGGGUGUGAAACCUCCAGGCUCAACCUGGAGACGCCACCCGAUACUGUCGUGACUAGAGUCCAGUAGGGGAGCGUGGAAUUCCUGGUGUAGCGGUGAAAUGCGCAGAUAUCAGGAGGAACACCAGCGGCGAAGGCGGCGCUCUGGGCUGGAACUGACGCUGAGGAGCGAAAGCGUGGGGAGCGAACAGG